UUAAAUUGAAGGGUUUGAUCAUGGCUCAGAUUGAACGCUGGCGGCAGGCCUAACACAUGCAAGUCGAACGGUAACAGGAAGCAGCUUGCUGCUU
rnacentral:rRNA from 1 species